rfam:Stegodyphus mimosarum contig16107, whole genome shotgun sequence.
ACCUUCGUGGUGUAGUGGUCAGCACGCUCGACGCGUAACCCAGAGGUCUGUGGUUCGAUUCCCGGCGAAGGCG